rnacentral:lncRNA from 11 species
GUUACUCAGCUUCAUAUUCGCAUUGGAAUAAAACUUAUCAGAGUAUCAUUGUUAAGAAAUAGACCUUUUUUGGAGGAUCUGUGCUGUUCCCACUCCUCUCCGUCUCUUUGUUCCUGCUUUAUUAUAGGGCUACCUUGAAUUCCAAACCAGAAAUAGUGAGAUGAUGACAACGAUGACGAUGAUAAUAAUGAUGAUGAUGAUAUCAUGAAAAUCAGGAUACACACUGGUGGAAUGGCAUCCUUAGAUACAGUACCUUUGGUGCCUUCGGCAGCCCAUAACAGCAAGGACCCUCCCGGUAUGAAAACCCGCCCGCAACAAAAUAAGCGGGAGCUGAUCUUGGCGCCUCCUCCCCUAUUUGACAUCACAGUUGAAUAUUUUUUUAUUUUCC